rnacentral:rRNA from 1 species
GACGAACGCUGGCGGCGCGCUUAACACAUGCAAGUCGAACGGAAAGGCCUGCUUUCCCUUGUGGAUUGUGGGUACUCGAGUGGCGAACGGGUGAGUAACACGUGAGUGAUCUGCCCCCAACUUGGGUAUAAGCCUGGGAAACUGGGUCUAAUUCCCGAUAGGACUGCAGGGUGGUGCCUGUGGUGGAAAACGAUUUUCUAGUGGUUGGGGAUGAGCUCGCGGCCUAUCAGCUUGUUGGUGGGGUAAUGGCCUACCAAGGCGGCGACGGGUAGCCGGCCUGAGAGGGUGGACGGCCACAUUGGGACUGAGAUACGGCCCAGACGCCUACGGGAGGCAGCAGUGGGGAAUAUUGCACAAUGGGCGGAAGCCUGAUGCAGCGACGCCGCGUGGGGGAUGACGGCCUUCGGGUUGUAAACUCCUUUCGACCGCGAGGAAGCCACCUGGUUGGAAGGGUGGUGACGGUAGUGGUAGAAGAAGCACCGGCUAACUACGUG